GACGAACGCUGGCGGCGUGCUUAACACAUGCAAGUCGAACGGAAAGGCCCUGCUUUUGUGGUGUGCUCGAGUGGCGAACGGGUGAGUAACACGUGAGUAACGUGCCCUUGACUUUAGGAUAAUUUCAGGAAAGUGGGGCUACUACCAGAUAGGAGUUCCUGCUGCAUAGUGGGUGUUGAAAAGUUUCGGCGGGUGGGAAUAGACUCUCGGCUAAUCUGCUUGUUGGUGGGGUAGGGGCUUACCAAGGCUUUGACGGGUAGCAGGCCUGGGAGGGUGGCCGGCACCAUUGGGACUGAGAUAAGGCCCAGACUCCAACGGGAGGCAGCGGUGGGGAAUAUUGCACAAUGGGAGGGAGCCUGAUGCGGCACCGCCGCGUGCGGGAAGACGGCAUGCGGGUUGAGAACCGCAUUCGCCUGUGACGAAGCGUGAGUGACGGUAAUAGGUAAAGAAGCACCGGCUAACUACGUG
rnacentral:rRNA from 1 species